GACGAACGCUGGCGGCGUGCUUAACACAUGCAAGUCGAACGGUAAGGCCCUUUCGGGGGUACACGAGUGGCGAACGGGUGAGUAACACGUGGGUGAUCUGCCCUGCACUUUGGGAUAAGCCUGGGAAACUGGGUCUAAUACCGGAUAGGACUACGCGAUGCAUGUCGUGUGGUGGAAAGCUUUUGCGGUGUGGGAUGGGCCCGCGGCCUAUCAGCUUGUUGGUGGGGUGAUGGCCUACCAAGGCGACGACGGGUAGCCGGCCUGAGAGGGUGUCCGGCCAAAGUAGGAGAGGGAUACGACGCAGAGGCCGGGAGGGAGAGGCGGUGGAAAAGUGACGGUGAGGGGAGCAAGCUGGGGGGGGCGGGGCCGCGGGGGGGACGAGGGCCUGCGGGCAGAAAGCGCAUUUCAGAUAAGAGGAGGCAUGUGUGAGGGUAGGUGUAGCAGAAGCAGAAGCAAAACACGUGACAGAAGCCAGGGUAAAACGACAGAACAGGACCCGUGUAAC
rnacentral:rRNA from 1 species